rnacentral:SRP_RNA from 14 species
GCUCGGCGAAGAGGCAGAGGCUCGAACUUGCCACCGAGGUAUGGCAGCUGCGCGCAGGCAGCCGCUCCCUGUACGGCUGGUUCGACCGCGUCAUUGAAGAAGAGUCGACCCAGGGGAGUGGCGAAGGGAGCUGAUGAUGUGCGCCAGAACCGGGAGGGGGCGGUGGCAAGCGGUCGCCUGAGUGUG